GCGAGCGCUGGCGGCAGGCUUAACACAUGCAAGUCGAACGGCCGUAGCAAUACGGCAGUGGCAGACGGGUGAGUAACACGUGGGAAUGUGCCUUUCGGUUCGGAAUAACCCAGGGAAACUUGGGCUAAUACCGGAUACGCCCUUACGGGGAAAGAUUUAUCGCCGAAAGAUCAGCCCGCGUCCGAUUAGUUAGUUGGUGGGGUAAUGGCCCACCAAGGCGACGAUCGGUAGCUGGUCUGAGAGGAUGAUCAGCCACACUGGGACUGAGACACGGCCCAGACUCCUACGGGAGGCAGCAGUGGGGAAUAUUGGACAAUGGGCGCAAGCCUGAUCCAGCCAUGCCGCGUGGGUGAUGAAGGCCCUAGGGUUGUAAAGCCCUUUCGGCGGGGAAGAUAAUGACGGUACCCGCAGAAGAAGCCCCGGCUAACUUCGU
rnacentral:rRNA from 1 species